CUAGGAAGAUGGGUGAUUGGGACGUACACAGUCACCAAGUGAUUUGUUACGUUCAGGAAAGUCCAGACAGCACAGAGUAAGGGUGGGGUCGAGUAAUCGAUCCACGGGUAACCGCUAGUUUCGUCCAAAGGACGACCAGCCUUUGGCUGGAGAGCCACAGAGACUACGACUCACCCUAUACCAUCUGGUAUGGGGUAGAGGGUGAAAAGAGGCAAUCCUCCCCGCUGCAAUCCUAGAUAUGACCAGGUUACUCGCCUAAAGGUCUAAGUCAGGAGCACUAGAUAAAUAAUCGCCUUAAAACAGAAUCUGGCUUACAAGCUUCCUAGGCAU
rnacentral:RNase_P_RNA from 1 species